AUGGCGACCGGCGCACGGGUGAGUAACACGUAUCCAACCUGCCGAUGACUCGGGGAUAGCCUUUCGAAAGAAAGAUUAAUACCCGAUGGCAUAGUUCUUCCGCAUGGUGGAACUAUUAGAGAAUUUCGGUCAUCGAUGGGGAUGCGUUCCAUUAGGUUGUUGGCGGGGUAACGGCCCACCAAGCCUUCGAUGGAUAGGGGUUCUGAGAGGAAGGUCCCCCACAUUGGAACUGAGACACGGUCCAAACUCCUACGGGAGGCAGCAUG
rnacentral:rRNA from 1 species